rnacentral:tmRNA from 1 species
ACUCUUCCAUUUGGUUGCGGGAGUGCCUAUAUUCGCUUCGCCGGCUCGUCCGGCUAUGGCGAUAAACGGGCGAUGAAAUAAGCCGUUCGGACCCGGGGGCGGUACCCGGCGCCUCCACCAGAAACCGCCGUUACGGGCGGCUUCUGCUGGGGGCGAAACAGGAUCGACGAAGGUGUAAAGAUCGUACUUUUGCCCGGCAUUGUACCACCGUUAUCGGGCUAAACUUAUAGUUGCCAACGACAACUAUGCGGAAGCACGUCUCGCUGCGUAAUGCGGUGCGACAGCUUCAAUCAAACUCCUAGGGGUUCGCACCUCUAGGCGGGGUUCGGAGGUACCUGGCAACAGAAACCUCCACU